rnacentral:rRNA from 1 species
AUUGAACGCUGGCGGCAUGCCUUACACAUGCAAGUCGAACGGCAGCACGGGGGCAACCCUGGUGGCGAGUGGCGAACGGGUGAGUAAUACAUCGGAACGUGUCCUGUAGUGGGGGAUAGCCCGGCGAAAGCCGGAUUAAUACCGCAUACGAUCUACGGAAGAAAGCGGGGGAUCUUCGGACCUCGCGCUAUAGGGGCGGCCGAUGGCAGAUUAGCUAGUUGGUGGGGUAAAGGCCUACCAAGGCGACGAUCUGUAGCUGGUCUGAGAGGACGACCAGCCACACUGGGACUGAGACACGGCCCAGACUCCUACGGGAGGCAGCAGUGGGGAAUUUUGGACAAUGGGGGCAACCCUGAUCCAGCAAUGCCGCGUGUGUGAAGAAGGCCUUCGGGUUGUAAAGCACUUUUGUCCGGAAAGAAAACCUCUUGGUUAAUACCUGAGGGGGAUGACGGUACCGGAAGAAUAAGCACCGGCUAACUACGUGCCAGCAGCCGCCGUAAAAC